AAGAGUGCUUGAAAUUGUCGGGAGGGAAGCGGAUGGGGGCCGGCGAUGCGCCUCGGUCGGAUGCGGAACGGCGAGAGCCGGUCCGCCGAUCGACUCGGGGCGCGGACCGAUGCGGAUUGCGGCGGCGGCCCAAGCCCGGGCUGUCGAUAUGCCCGUGGAGACGUCGUCGCCGCGAUUGUGGUAGGCAGCGCGCGCCAUCUCGGCGUGCCUCGGCAUCUGCGCGCUCCUGGCGUCGGCCUGCGGGCUCCCCAUUCGGCCCGUCUUGAAA
rnacentral:rRNA from 1 species